UACGUAGGGUGCAAGCGUUGUCCGGAAUUAUUGGGCGUAAAGAGCUCGUAGGCGGUUUGUUGCGUCGGCUGUGAAAUCCCGAGGCUCAACCUCGGGUCUGCAGUCGAUACGAGCAAACUAGAGUGUUGCAGGGGAGACUGGAAUUCCUGGUGUAGUGGUGAAAUGCGUAGAUAUCGGGAGGAACACCAGUGGCGAAGGCGACUACCUGGCCUGUUCUUGACGCUGAGGCGCGAAAGCUAGGGGAGCAAACGGG
rnacentral:rRNA from 1 species